rnacentral:rRNA from 1 species
AAUAGAUACCCUGGUAGUCCACGCCGUAAACGAUGGAUGCUAGCUAUUGGGGGGAAUCGACCCCCUCCGAAGCGAAGCUAACGCGUUAAGCAUCCCGCCUGAGUAGUACGAGCGCAAGCUUAAAACUCAAAGGAAUUGACGGGGACCCGCACAAGCGGUGGAGCGUGUGGUUUAAUUCGAUGGUAAACGAAGAACCUUACCAAGGUUUGACAUCCCGGUAGCCGUUCUCCGAAAGGAGAAUUUCAUUUAGUCGGACCGGUGACAGGUGAUGCAUGGCCGUCGUCAGCUCGUGUCGUGAGAUGUUGGGUUAAGUCCCGCAACGAGCGCAACCCUUAUGAUUUAGUUGGAUUUUUCUAAACAGACUGCCCUGGUAACAGGGAGGAAGGAGGGGAUGAUGUCAGGUCAGUAUUUCCCUUACACCUUGGGGCGACGACACGCGCUACAAUGGCCGGUACAAUGGGCAGCUAAGCCGCGAGGUGGAGCAAAUCCCAUCAAAGCCGGUCCCAGUUCGGAUUGCAGGCUGAAACCCGCCUGCAUGAAGCCGGAAUCGCUAGUAACC